rnacentral:rRNA from 1 species
CCUACGGGCGGCAGCAGUGGGGAAUAUUGGGCAAUGGGCGAAAGCCUGACCCAGCAACGCCGCGUGAAGGAAGAAGGCUUUCGGGUUGUAAACUUCUUUUGACAGGGAAGAGCAGAAGACGGUACCUGUCGAAUAAGCCACGGCUAACUACGUGCCAGCAGCCGCGGUCAUACGUAGGAUCCGAGCAUUAUCCGGAGUGACUGGGUGUAAAGAGUUGCGUAGGUGGCAUAAUAAGUAGCUAGUGAAAUCUGGUGGCUCAACCAUUCAGACUAUUAGCUAAACUGUUAAGCUCGAGACCGUUAGGGGUAACUGGAAUUUCUAGUGUAGGAGUGAAAUCCGUAGAUAUUAGAAGGAACACCAAUAGCGUAGGCAGGUUACUGGGACGGUUCUGACACUAAGGCACGAAAGCGUAGGGAGCAAACGGGAUUAGAUACCCCAGUAGUC